AUUCUUAGAUUAUGUCCUUUGAUCAUAUUGUAUGAAAAACAGAAAAAAGGGGAAAUUUCACACUUUUAUAGUUAUCUUUACAAUGAAAUUGUAUUAAGAAAUUUGUUCACGUUAUUAUUAUAAAAUCACUUUUUCACCUUUUUUCCAGAA